rnacentral:rRNA from 1 species
AUUGAACGCUUUCUUCCUUCCUAACACAUGCAAGUCGAGCGGAUGAAGGGAGCUUGCUCCUGGAUUCAGCGGCGGACGGGUGAGUAAUGCCUAGGAAUCUGCCUGGUAGUGGGGGAUAACGUCCGGAAACGGGCGCUAAUACCGCAUACGUCCUGAGGUAGAAAGUGGGGGAUCUUCGGACCUCACGCUAUCAGAUGAGCCUAGGUCGGAUUAGCUAGUUGGUGGGGUAAAGGCCUACCAAGGCGACGAUCCGUAACUGGUCUGAGAGGAUGAUCAGUCACACUGGAACUGAGACACGGUCCAGACUCCUACGGGAGGCAGCAGUGGGGAAUAUUGGACAAUGGGCGAAAGCCUGAUCCAGCCAUGCCGCGUGUGUGAAGAAGGUCUUCGGAUUGUAAAGCACUUUAAGUUGGGAGGAAGGGCAGUAAGUUAAUACCUUGCUGUUUUGACGUUACCAACAGAAUAAGCACCGGCUAACUUCGGG